rnacentral:lncRNA from 1 species
UGGUGAGACCAAAGACUCAGAUGCCAAUACCUCAAGUGAGAGGUCAAAUGCUCAAUCUAAUGGCAGCUCUGAAGGCUCUGAAGGUGAAGAUGAUACUUCUUCCUCUGAUUAAUGGUUCCCCCUUUGUAUGAAGACUGUGUGAGGUGUACUAUGAAGACUGUUCUGGUGUUGCUGUUAUGGAAGCUGUUUCCCCUGCUGCGUUUGGAUGCUGAAGUUUUAUUGUUUUUUUUUGAAAUAUGUGUAAUUUGUGGCAGUCCUUAUUGAUGCCUG